rnacentral:rRNA from 1 species
GACGAACCGUGCGAACGUUGUUCGGAAUCACUGGGCUUAAAGGGCGCGUAGGCGGGCUGUCCAGUCUGGGGUGAAAUCCCACGGCUCAACCGUGGAACUGCCUCAGAUACUGACGGCCUCGAGGGAGAUAGGGGCAUGCGGAACUGUAGGUGGAGCGGUGAAAUGCGUUGAUAUCUACAGGAACUCCGGUGGCGAAGGCGGCGUGCUGGAUCUCUUCUGACGCUGAGGCGCGAAAGCCAGGGGAGCAAACGGG